AUGUGCCUGAUAGUCUAUUUCAUCACAAAACACUGGAAAUAUAGCAGAGUUACUAAUCAGGCAGAGGAUGGACCCGUCUUACAGAAGGACUCUGUGAAAGAGUUCCCAAGAAGCGUGACCGAUGUCCCUUCAGUAUCCCCACUUCCCCAUAACUGUGUGAUAAAAGCAAAUAGGACAAGGGGCUUUCAGAAGGAAAGUGAAGCAGACACAAUAGAAAAAGCACUGUGUGACCAUUUGAAGAACAUGUUCCAAUCCAGCAGAGAACAUUCAGAAACAAGCUCCCCAGUGAAGAUGCCUGGAGUGGCCUUGCUGCCGACUCACAGUCCCACAAGUAAACAGAUCAUGACGAUCUGUAAAGAUGGAAUGGAAAUUGGAAGAUUAACUGACCAUCCAGACAAAGCCACAAGCCCAGCACUCCCGCAAGUGGGCAACAAAAAUGUGGAGAGAGCCGCUGAAAUUCCCAGAUGUGUCAGUGCACCAGGCUUAUUUCCUAAUGUGGAGAAACAACCUUCUCCAAAAAGGGACCUUGGUUUGCAUUUCUCAUCGUCGAGCCAUGAAAAAACAAUCCCGAUGAGGGAGUGGAUGGAGAAUGGGGAACCUGCCUUGGUGAAAUAUUUUGAAACCCAGUGGGAAGAGCGGGCUUUGAGUCCCGUUACCUGGCUUUCUGGUUCUCAAUGUUCCCGGACUUUGGUAAAUGUAGUUUCUCCAGCAGGAAGUGCUACACAUAUACAAACAGGCAGAGACCGAAUUCAUACCACCUCUAACAAGAGAAGUAAAUCCUGGAGCCCCUUUCACUUCAACAUCUCCAGUCAUUUAACAGAGGCUCAUGAAGAUGGUGCAUCUAGAAGAAAUGCUGAGAAUGGAUUUGAGGCCAACUUGGUGCAUUCAAGAAGAGACAAAGACUGCGAGACUUUAUGUCAAGAACAUUUUAUAAAGAGUGAGUCCACAGAUACUACUGAGGACAGAUCCAAAGAUAAAGGAAUAAAAGAACCAGACUUGCAGAAAGACAUCUAUCUUAACAACCGUUGCAUUGCACAAAGUGAAAGCAACUAUCAGAGAGAGACUACGAACACAGGGGAUGUCAACCUCACUCCAGAACCUGAAGCACCAGCCAACUCCCCACUUUCAGAUUUAGCCAGCCCUAGAGAACAUGCUGGUGCCAGCAACCCAGAUAAUAAAGGCAUCAAGCCUGCAGUGGAGGGAAAAUUAGUUAGCCCCUUUCUUGGGAAAGAAGGUAUCCAUCCCCCAUCUUUCUGUAAUAAUGAUGGAUUGGGAGAAGAGAGGCCCAGCUGUAGAACACCCAGGAGUGAGAAACCUGACAAAGAAUCUUCCUUAAAGAAUAAUAAAUUGACAAAAGAGAGAUUUUGGAAAUACCAUACGAAUUGCUGCAAUGAAUUCCAGCCCUGCCCAAUUGCUCAGAAAGUAUUAAAGGAGCUGAAGACUACACUUCUGACUUCGAGAGAGCAGUUAGAUCUGUCCACGCAGGCUCCCCCCUCUGACAUGGAUCUACUGAAAGAACAAGAAGUGACCACAACUUGCCUUGUCCAGUGUAUAAACAGUGAGACGCCACUAACAAACAAAUGGGAAAAGGGAAACUAUAGCACUUUGCCAGACGUACACGCCUCCUUUGCUCCUGAUGGAAUUUGCCAUCAAGAGUUACCUGGAGAUGACAGUAAAAUUUCUUGUGGGCUUCCUCAGACAAUAACUCUGCAGCUGGGCCAACAAACCAGUAUAUCUCACCAAGAAGCUGGUGCUGAAUGCCAGUCUCUAUGUAAGGCAAUUGUUGAACCCAUCAGUGAAUUUCAAGAGAGCACUGAGAAAUGCAUUGUAAAAGUUCAGAGCAGGAUGGUGGAUAGUUUGGAGCAACUGCCGUUAAGAAAUGCCUCUGUUGGUGCCAAUCAUCUCCCGUCCAGAAGAUGCGAGAAUACACAUAAUGAACAUGUUGCCCAGGACUGGAAGUCUUUGGAUGCAGAAACCGAUUCGGAUGCACUGACACAAACAUAUAAUACCAUCAAUGAGCAUUUAGCAGGAGGUGAAGAAGGUUGUGUUCCUGCAUCUCCAAGUAUUUUGGACAGAGAACUCUGCAAUGUUAAAUCUCUACAACUCAGCGCUAUGGCAUCUGUCUAUACUUGCCUCCCACUCAGUGCAGAUGAAAGCACUCCGGAUCCUGACUCUAUAACUUCCAGUCCGAAUAUUAGUAAAGUUUCUUUAUUGGACAUUCAUGAAGUUGAACAUAAAAGUGUAGCAGACAGGAAGUCCAACCGUUAUUUGUCAAAUGCGGUUAUUUCGGUGCAGAAAAUGCAAAUUUCUCCAAGUGAAGAGAAAAGUGUAGGCAGAUUGAGAGAUGAAAGUGCUGAUGCUGAAUUCAUGCUUAAUGAGAAUGAGGGAGCUCAGUUUAAUAUUGACGAGGAGAAAACAAAGGCAUUUCAAUCUGACUGUACUGAGCACAAUUCGUAUGAGUUAGUUACCGUUGUUAGCUCAAAUGACACAGACGACCAAAAGAAUAUUAGGGAGCUGUUAGCCCCAAGUGACAUUUUGAGGAUUGAAAAUAAUACCUGGCAUAAUACAGACAACAAUCCUUAUAAAAGCUGCUUGGAAAAUGCCCGCAGUUCUAUAGCAGCCGAUCGUAAUGAAUGUGACGAUGUUGGAUGCAAAAAGGAAACUGGCCAUGAAUAUCUCUACCAACCUGCGGCAUCAAAAGGGUGCAGAUCCUCUACAAAUCCUUCUCUUACUGUUUAUGAAAGUCAAGCAGAAGAAAUCAGUGUUGCAGGCUAUGAUGCUACUGUUUCUCACUCAGGCCAUGCCUCCAGGAAUACAGGAAUUCAGCAAUUCGCUUGUAAUAAAAAGGACAAGUGUCAGCUCCAAAAUAUACAGGUAAAUCCAAAAAUGGAGAAGGAACCAGAUAUGAAAUAUUCUAACUCUAAAUACCACAUGUUAGUGGCUGGCAACACAGAUGCCAAGCUUUGUGUGGCAGGAGACGACCCCUCUGCCGGUCCAUAUUUAGAAAGCAGACAGCCCCUGGAGAUUGGACUAUGUUCUAAGACCAUUUGUCUGCCAGAGCAAUCUCACAGGUCUCUUCUGCCACAAGGUUCUGCGCUUUCCGACCCAUGGAAGAAGGAAUUGGAGCAAAACUGGAGUGAAAGUCUAUCAGCAAAACAACUCAAGAAAACAUAUUGUUCUGUUUUCAGACUACCGACUGAAGGCUCAUCUUUUGGGAAGCUUUGCCAGAAUGUAGACUGCACCAUUGAGCCUCCUGAUCUGAGCAAGGGAACAUCCUCCACUACCUCACUGACACCAAAUCCGUGUUUAUUGGGACAAGAAACGGAAAUGCAUGCAAAUGGAGAGUCUUGGGCAUUCAACCCUCAGCUGAUGGAUAAAGCCACAUAUUUAAGUUGCCUUUAUAAUCCAAAGGCACCGAGGAAACAAGCAAAUGAACGAAGUGUACUUUCUAAUCUCCGCUAUUGUAAAAUUUCAGCAAAAGUAUCCUUUGGUGCGGAGGAGGAGGAAGGGAGGUCAGUGUCACAAAAAAAAGAAAAUGACCCAGACCAAUUAACGAGUGACCAUCAGUAUAAACCUCCAGCUAAAAAAGUAGUCCCCACAGAUAGCGACUGA
rnacentral:lncRNA from 1 species